rnacentral:rRNA from 1 species
UACGACGGGGGCUAGCGUUGUUCGGAUUUACUGGGCGUAAAGCGCGUGUAGGCGGAUCGUUAAGUCGGGGGUGAAAGCCCAGAGCUCAACUCUGGAAUUGCCUUCGAUACUGGAGGUCUGGAGCAGAGAAGAGGCGAGUGGAAUUCCGAGUGUAGAGGUGAAAUUCGUAGAUGUUCGGAGGAACACCAGUGGCGAAGGCGGCUCGCUGGUCUCUUGCUGACGCUGAGACGCGAAAGCGUGGGGAGCUAACAGG